UCCCCAGUAGCUCAGUGGUAGAGCAAGCGGCUGUUAACCGCUCGGUCGCUGGUUCGAGUCCGGCCUGGGGAGCCA
rnacentral:tRNA from 1 species